rnacentral:miRNA from 1 species
AGGGUGUGUUUGGUUUU